UACGGAGGGGGCAAGCGUUGUUCGGAAUUAUUGGGCGUAAAGGGCGUGUAGGCGGCCAGAUAAGUGGGGUGUGAAAUCCCUCGGCUCAACCGAGGAAUUGCACUCCAUACUGCCUGGCUAGAGUCCGGGAGGGGGUGGCGGAAUUCCCAGUGUAGCGGUGAAAUGCGUAGAUAUUGGGAAGAACACCGGUAGCGAAGGCGGCCACCUGGACCGGUACUGACGCUGAGGCGCGAAAGCCAGGGGAGCGAAUGGG
rnacentral:rRNA from 1 species